rnacentral:rRNA from 1 species
GAUGAACGCUGGCGGCGUGCCUAAUACAUGCCAGUCGAGCGAACAGACGAGGAGCUUGCUCCUCUGACGUUAGCGGCGGACGGGUGAGUAACACGUGGAUAACCUACCUAUAAGACUGGGAUAACUUCGGGAAACCGGAGCUAAUACCGGAUAAUAUAUUGAACCGCAUGGUUCAAUAGUGAAAGACGGUUUUGCUGUCACUUCUAGAUGGAUCCGCGCCGCAUUAGCUAGUUGGUAAGGUAACGGCUUACCAAGGCAACGAUGCGUAGCCGACCUGAGAGGGUGAUCGGCCACACUGGAACUGAGACACGGUCCAGACUCCUACGGGAGGCAGCAGUAGGGAAUCUUCCGCAAUGGGCGAAAGCUUGACGGAGCAACGCCGCGUGAGUGAUGAAGGUCUUCGGAUCGUAAAACUCUGUUAUUAGGGAAGAACAAAUGUGUAAGUAACUAUGCACGUCUUGACGGUACCUAAUCAGAAAGCCACGGCUAACUACGUG